AACGCACCUUGCGCUCCCUGGUAUUCCGGGGAGCAUGCCUGUUUGAGUGUCGUGAAAUCAUCAUGGUCAUGAUCUUUAAUUAAUCAUGGCUUGGUUUUGGAGGUUAUGUUGGCUUUUUAUUAAGUUGACUCCUCUUAAAUACAUUAGCUCAGUGUUUAAUGCUUAGAGCGGUUCACGGUGUGAUAAUUAUCUACGCCGUGGCUGUGAGGCUUUAAAUUCAUAGGAUCAGCUUCGAACCGUCCCUAUCGAACGGGACAACAUCUUCAUUGACCUCUGACCUCAAAUCAGGUAGGAUUACCCGCUGAACUUAA
rnacentral:rRNA from 1 species